UUUUUCCAUUUAGAUGUUGUUGUGCAAUUUGACAAUUUGUUGUUCGAUUUGAGGAGUGAAUAAAAACAUCAAAUGUGGAAUCUUGUGAAUUUUCAUUUACACUUGCACUAAAUAAAUUAGAGGCAUUAAGAAAUGUUUAACUAAUUCAGUAUUUCAAUGAUUAAAGAUGAUAUAAAACAUAAGGUUAGUGUUAUUAAUUAGUUGUGCUUUUCUAAUUGCUUAUUGGACGCUCAAUUUGAUACUAUUCUGUUGCUGGAAAAUUGUUUGUGAUUUUACUGACGCCGCUACACGCUAUGUCUCUUAGGAGGAGGUUUUCAAACUACAAAAGUUUCCAUUGAUGAAUGAGGAAUGAUGAAGGUUACUGAAGCUUUCAUUGUAUCAGAGUUUGUGUAGGUGAGCUGAGCCUAUUCUUCUCACUUCACUUCCAACUUCCUUUUCUGUUCGAUUUCUCUCCAAAUUAGAGUGCAAUUGCACUUGAUUGUCUUUCAUUAAUUUCUUCUUCUUCAAUUGGAAGUCUCUUGAAUUCGAGAUCUGCUAGGAUGGCGAUUGGAAAUGAUAAAACUGAGCAUGUCGGUGCUUCAAUGCGAUCUCACACUGUGGUUUCAAACACAGUCGCAAUUGAUCAGCAUCAUCCAUUGUUUCUUCAACCCAGUGAUACUCCAGGUAAAUCCUUGAUCUCUGUUAAGCUCACUGGUUCUGAAAAUCAUGCAUUAUAGAGUAUUCUAUGAAAAUCAGUAUGUUAUGUAAGAGAAAAUUGGGGCUUGUUGAUCAUCAUUCUAGAUACACUUGGAUUUUCUUGCUACCUAUGUAAUUGCUGCCCUAAGGGUUUUCUGCUUAUGGUAAAAACUUUGUAUGAUGUCUCGGUGAAAUAUCUUAGAACUGAUAAUGGCUGUGAGUUUUUCAGCUCUUC